GUCCUUUCGCUUUUGUUUCCACCGCCCUCUCUCCCUCUUCUGGUUUUGCCUUCCAAUCCCCUGUUUCUCACACCUUGAUCCCGCCAUCAUCUCUGUCUCUCGUUCUCAUCCCAAACCCUAGACCACCGGAUCCUGGUCUAGGGUUUAACGCCCACGCCCUCUGACCUCCACGAUUCCGGCGCCAGGGCUUUGAAAGAAUGUCCAAAUAUUUAUGCACAAAUUGAUUGGAGUUUAUCUCCUUCCUCGAGGUCAUUGCUGGAUGACGGAUUCCAUCCGAGCCUAACCCUAGGUGGGCCAAUCAUAUAUUGCUCGCUGAAGUGGUCGAUUUGCCAUUAUCAUGGGUUUUGACAAUGAGUGUAUACUGAAUAUUCAAAAUCUUCCGGGGGAAUAUUUCUGUCCGAUUUGUCGCACUCUUGUUUAUCCGGAUGAAGCUUUACAGAGUCAGUGCACCCAUCUGUACUGCAAACCUUGCUUGGCAUAUGUCGUGGGCACGACACGAGCAUGCCCUUAUGAUGGUUACCUGGUGACUGAAGCAGAUUCCAAGCCACUAAUAGAGUCAAACAAAUCAAUUGCGGAGGCUAUUGGCAAGGUGCCCGUUUACUGCCUUUAUCACAGGAGUGGGUGCCAAUGGCAGGGGACCCUGACUGAGUGCACUGCACACUGCCCUGAAUGCAGUUAUGGAAACUGUCCUGUUAUAUGCAACAGAUGUGGUAUGCACAUCAUUCACCGUCAGGUGCAAGAGCAUGCGCAUAGCUGUCCUACUUUGCAGUCUCAACCCCAACAGCUUGACAGUGCACUAACUCAAGUGUCUACUGGGCAGUCAGAAAUUAUUAAUGAAGCUUUAUCUACAGCUUCAACUUCUACUGCAAUGGCAGCACCUUCUUCAACUUCUACUGCAAUGCCUGUUGCUUCUUCAACCCCUUCAGCACAAACAGUUGCCUCGAUGGCUAUCACAAGUGCUGCAGCAGCUUCUGAUUCUACUCCUGCUGCUGCUUCUGAUCAGGCAACGCAAACCCAAGCUGCCGCAAUUGCUCAGCCCCAGGUCCCCCCUGCUGAGCAGUGGUACCAGCAGCAGCAAAUGCAAUACCAACAGUAUUACCAGCAAUAUCCUGGAUAUGAUCCUUAUCAGCAGCAGUAUCAGCAUUAUGGCCAGUAUCAGCAGCAAGUCCACCAGCAGUAUCCACAAACUUACUUGCAAGUUCCUGUCCAGCCUGUGGUUCAAGGACAACAGCAGCCCCUUCAUACUAUGCAACCGCAACCAUUAUCACAACCUCAUUCUCAGUUGUCAAUGCAAAAUCAGCAGCCUGCACUGCAAAUCCAACCUCAAGGACAAGCUGCCCAACCUCAAGUGCAAGCACAACCACCACCGCAGGCUCUAACUGCUCAGCCACAACCUCAACAGCAGCAUUACCCACAAUUGCCGCAACAUCCUCAACAACCUCAGCUUCAUUCGCAUCAGCUUCAUGUACCUGCUCAACAGCUCCUUACACCAACUCAACCCCAAAAUCAUCCUCCACCAUAUGCACAAAUGGCUAGGCAAUCACAACCUCAACCCCAACCCCAACCCCAUCCCCAUGCCCAACCACCACAGUUUCCCACACAGCCUAACCCUCAACUUAGUAAGUCUUUACCACCACAAUCUCAUCUACAUUCACAAAUGCCACAACAACAGCCCCCACGGCAACAACCCCAUAUGCAGCAGCAACCGCAUUCCCAGCCUCAUCUUCGUCCUCAGAGCCAACCCAUUCCGCAGGCACAACCGCAGCAGCCAGCUGCACAGGCAGUAACUGGACAUCAAUCUUAUCCACAGCCUUAUCCCUUCCAACCAGCACCUUCUGGUGUUGCACAGCAACGACCAAUGCAUAUGCAUCCUCAGCAUCUGCAGGCGCCAAUCCAGCCUGUUCAACAUACUGGUCAUAUGCAUAAUCAGUUUCCUCCCCAGCAAAAUCAAAUGCGCCCACCCCCAAAUUCUGUACCAGGGCAAGCUCAACAAAUAGGAAUGCUUCCACCUCAAAGUUCUCGAGGGAGUGCUAUUCCAAGCCUUCAGCCUGGACAACAAUUUCACCAUCAUGCUGGUAUGCAGCCACAGCAGUUUUUACCGCAUAAUCAAGCACAAAGCCAAUUACAUCCAACCCAGCAAUAUCAGCAGGGACCCUACUUGCCACAGCAAGCAAUACGAUCUCAGGCCCCAACUUUACAGCAAAGUGUACCUGCACCACCAGUGGCACAUGGAGUUACUAGCUAUCAGGCUCAGGUUCCAGCUCCUGGACCUGGUAUCAUAAGUCAUGGUACACCCCAGCCAGCAUCUCAGCAGAUUUCUACUCAAUAUCCAUUGGAGUCUAAUUUGACGGAGUCAUCUGAAGUAAAAUCUGGGACCAUGCAACAUGCUCAGGUGACACCUUCGCAGGGUCCUUUGCUACCACAGCCUUCUACAUUGCAAUCGGGGGCAUCUGUUGAUCAUAAUCAAGCAUCUACUGCCAAGGAAUCUUCAAGGUUGAUAGCUUCAGAAUUGAAAGGGAAGUCCUCACCUGAAAAAGGAGCUCAAGUGCAUAAAUUGGAGGUAGAGAUGGAACCAAAAAAUUCCAAGGGAGCAGAUUUGGCUCAGACAAAAACUUCGAGUGACUAUGUUGCUAUAUCAGUUGAUGAAGGAAAAGCUAAUGCAGAUUCCAGGGAAAGUAGCCAGCCUAACAGUGAUGGUAAAGAUGUUCAAGAAUCAGCUCAUGUUAGGUCAUCUCAAAGUGAUAAUUUGGAUGUUCAAGUUGCUGAACAUGCCACAGAUAAGGUCUCUCAUUUCACUAAUGACGCAAAAGAAGUUUUGGAGCUUAGUGCUGCACAAGGAGAUAUGUUGUCCAAUGGCGCUGGGAGAGUGCAGUCUCUUCAAGAUUCGAGGGAAUCUUUAAGCUCAUCCCAAUCUAAAGAACGAGCUCCAAUUGCAGAUGUACCACAGGGCAUACCUCCAGCUGGUUCAUUUCCCGGUGAGAAGUAUGACCAUCAGACUUAUGGAAUUUCUCCUAACAUGUCAGAGCAAACAAUGAAUUCUCAGAGGGCUUCUGCACCUGAUAGGAUGGUUCCUCAACAUAUGCAACUACAUGACCCGCCAUUUGCACCAAGCCAAAUGCGUCCUCCAGUACAUAACGUAAUUGAAAAUAGGUCUUCUCAAGGGCAAGGUAGACAGCCUUAUGGUUCAUAUCUAAAUGAGGUGCCCAAGGCUGGCCAUCUUGGUUCAUUCUCUAACUACUCAUCCUCAACUGGUGCUCUGGGCCAAAAUCCUUUACCUUUACCUGCAAAUGGGCCACCAGCUGGUGUAUUUGCUGCUGCAGGUGGGAUGACAAGUAACCUCCCUCCUGGUCUUGAAAGUCAGACUGGUCAGCCACGACAUACUAAUGGUGAUCAUAGUAAAGGGCAUGCCGGUGGCACAGAAAGGUUUGGGUCAAGACCUUUUUCAGAAGAAAGGUUCCAAUCAACUGUACAUGAUCCUUACAGGCGUGCUACCAGUCAGGGAGAUCUUGAGGAAGAUUUUAAGCGGUUUCCCAAAUCUACUCAUUCGGAAAGUGAAAGUCUUCCCAAGUUUGAUGGUCCCAUUUCUUCAUCAUGGUCUGCAGAGGGUUCCCGACCUCUUGUUAAUGCCUUUCCUCCAAAUAGCAGUGGUUCAACAUUGCUUCCAAUGAGGGAACACCAUAAACCUGGAGGUAUUCAUGAUGAGUGGGGAAGAAGGUCUGAUGCCCUUGGUGCUAUACCCGGAGCCGGCAAUCAUCUUGUAGGUGGUUUGGCUCCUCUGAGAAGUCCUGGUAGAGAAUACACUGGGUUUGAGAUGCGAAAAUUUGGAUUUUCUAAACAAGGCACAGAUCACUUUGGCAAAGAACCUCUGAACUUUGGUGAACGGUCACAUGCUUUUAACAUGCCUUCAGAUUCAUUCAAUGGUUCAUUUCUAGAAUCUAGGUUUCCUAGACCUUAUGCACCUGGACCAACUAGUUUCCCAGGAGGUAGCUCUGAUGGCCUGCAACAUAUGAGAAUGAUGGAUCAGCUCGCUUCUAGGAACUUGCCAGGUGAUAGUGGAAAUGAAUUGGAUGGGCCUGCCAUGCAUCCCAGCCACUUCCGGCAUUUAAGAAGUAAUGAAGCAUUUGGACGUAGUCAUCUUCAUUUCAGUGAUCCUGGUGGUUUUGGUGGUCUCCAUCGCGAUACACGAAUGGGUGAACGGAGCUUUGCUGGACAUUUUCCUCCACAUGCCAGGGAGUCUACUGGAUACUUGCCAGUUCAUAUGCGUAGCGGGGAAUCUGGACCUACUCAUGGUUAUUCCAUGCAUGGUUUUCCCAAUGAAACAGGGCGCUUUGGUUUGGUUUCUAAUUUCGAUGAGAUCGACUCUUUUGGGCAUUCAAGUAAGCGAAAUCUUGCGAGUAUAGGAUGGUGUCGCCUUUGUAAGAUUGAUUGUGGAAGUGUAGAAGGCUUGGACAUCCAUUCCCAAACUAGGGAGCACCAAAAGAUGGCUAUGGAUAUAGUCUUAAACAUUAAGCAGGAGAACUCGAAGAAGAAAAAGAAGGCAAUCGAUGAUGGGACUGCAAUAGAAGGCCCAAGCAAAUCUAGGAAAGUGAAAUUUUGAGACGUGAUAAUUUUGAGUUGAGAUUGCUGCUUACCUUCGAGUUUGUCCUUUUUCGCUGGAUGUAUCCCUUGGAGUUUUAGUCUGUUUUGUCAAUCAUGACUUCUUUAUCUUAAAGUUGAUGAUGGCUGCCUUUGCUUGUAAUGAACCACCCCAAGUUCAUGAAUUGAAGUUUAAGCUGGUGCUGGCUAUGGUGGUAUGCAGGUUCCCUGGCUGCGUCCGGGACACCUUAAGGCUUAUCUCCAUUUUAUCAGGUUGGCAUACUUUUUCCCCAGGGUGUUGCCAUUAAUUUAUUGCUGAUUGAUUAUCUGGGCGAAAUUAGUUCAUUGGUAAGUUAUAUUAGUUUUGAUAUGCUCAUUGCACUAAAUGAAUUUCAACUUCACAAUGCACUGUUCUUUCUGCUUAUGCUAAUAGAUUUGUGAUGUAUCUCUUUAUCCAAGAAUUUUUAUAAUGAUGAUUUGAUUUAUAUUUAGGACUUCUGCUCAUGUGGUUAAUAAUAUUGUGUUCUCUUCUAGCUAUUGGUCUAUGACCAGGGUUAGAAUUCCUUCAAGAUCAUGUAAGUUUUUGUUUUAGUUUAGACUUUGAACUGAUACUAUCACUAUAAUUGGUAUAUCUGUGGUGUAGGUUUUUAAGAGCCGGAAUGGGUUUCCUAAUAAGAAUCUGGAUUUAGACCCUUGUCCUAGACAAUCUUAUUUUAUUUUGGAAGUGCUUAUUUUGAAGGUCAAGCAUGCUUGUUAUAUACUUUAGAAGCUGCAUAUACCAGAAGAAUUGGUGUAGAUGGUGUGGCUUUUCCUUGUUUGUUUGUCAUUCAACUAGCUCAGAUGAUAACAGAAUCUUAUUGAUUAGAGUAAUUAUUAUAAUUUCAAUAUUGGAAUAAUACUUGAGCGUUAUGCUGGCACUGUAGAAAUUGACCAUUUCCUGGAUUAGAUUUUGUAGCACUGGUGUUCGAAUUCUGAUUUAUCCUGUCAUCUAGUUAUAUGCUUGCUCCUGGCGUGCAUCCUGUCUGCCUAUCAUCAGGAUAAACAUCCUGAAUAACCAACGUCCUAUUCUCAUGCUGUGAUUAUUUUUUGUGAUCGACUGUUGGGUCUAGUAAUGUAUGUGUUGAAGUGCUCCGAGCCCCUUGCAAAGCCAAAUAAUUAACCGCCUUGACCUGCUAUAGUUUUUUGUAACAUAUACUUUUUUAGGAAAAUUAGACAGGGUGCUGCCUGGCAGAAAGACUUCCUCUGAUGGAUAUAGUAUUUUAUAAGAUGCUGUGGCUGGGGUUGACAAAAGUUCUCUGUAGUAAUUAGUUAAACCUGUCAUUUGACAGUGAGGCUCCUUUUUGGGCUCUUAGAAAGGGCUUUUGUGGCUAUAUUGUUAUAGUGAUUACUAGUCCAGGUUAGAAGGAAAAUGCUUCGUCACAAAUCAAUAAGUUAGGAUGAAUGGAAUUACAGUUUUAAAUUUUGAAUAUGUAUUGCCAUGAAUAUUUCAAUCUAUGUAUUCCAAGAAUAUUUGGAUCUAUGUUAAUCUAAAAUAUUGUCAGUAUACUGAUUAAGAUGAUUUUUCCCAAAGGUUUAUUAGUUUUAUUAAUAAUUAAUACUGAUUAGUAGAUAGUAUCCUUAAUUAAUAUAUUCUUUUAAUUAAUUAAAUUUUAUAAAAGGGCUAUCCUAAUUUCAAAUUAUUACUAUGAUAAUGGCGGAAAACUUAGGAUAACUUGGUAUGAGGGGUUCUCUUAGUGAGCUUACUCUUGUAAGCUCGUAUAAAAACUAUAGAUCUCAUUUAAUUCUCUCUAUCUUAUUUCAUCAAGUCAUAUGGUUUUAUUUAUAGACAUAUAUAAUAUAUAUUGAGAGGGGACACCAAAGCUGACAAUAAAUUUCAUUUAAUGCUCUCCAUAUUUCAUUCCGUCAAGGCAUAUGCUUUUAUAUAAUAUAUAAUAUAUAUACACACAUAUAUUUUAAGCUUAGGGUCAACAUAAUCUUAGAUUGUAUCUGUACUGAAAUAGGGCGUAAGGUGAGGCAUAGUGACACAAGGAGACAUGACUAGUGGCAACUGGCUCGUUCCAUUGUUGGUAAUAUGUCCACUUGGUUAGGCUGCCCUGUGUGCUUUGUAACAUAGGUGAACACUCGUUGCAUAAGUUUCAAUCCCUUAAGAUUAUUCACGUGUCAAGAACCAAAAGAUUUUGCCACUUGUCUUUCAUACAUCAGCGUUGUCUAAAUUUAUCUUUUUUAUCAUAUUAUUGUCAUCACUCUAUUUUUUCCUCUAUCCAGUAUUGCUCUUGCUGCUCUUGCUCUGUAUGUAUGUUUGUUUAAUCCCCUUUUGUCAUUCUUGAAAUUUGAUUAAUUGUGAGGACAAUGGCGGGAACUGAAAAGAAGAAGCAUCUUGGUUUUGCUUUUGUUCAGUGAUGACAUAACACAAGGUGUUAUUGUUAUAAUUGUGUUAUUGUUUGAAUCUUUUGGAGUCGGUGUUUGUGGUGUUAUGGCCCCUGAGACUUGGUUGAAGAAAUUCUGUUAGUUCUGCCAUGUGAGUUCGAUCCAUAGCAAAAGCUGAUACAAGCUACCCAGGACAUUUAUUUGGUUUAUCUAUUUCAUGAUGUUAUUGUAUAUCAAACUUGAGGUAUUGUACUCGGACAUUUCUGAAAACUAUGAGGAAUCAUUUCGAUAUGUAUAGUCUGAAGUGUGCUCUCAGACUUUUGUA